rnacentral:rRNA from 1 species
UCCCUUAGUAGCGGCGAGCGAACAGGGAAGAGCCCAGCGCCGAAUUCCGCGUCCCAAAGGGCGUUUGGAACAUGUGGCGUUUAGGAGGAAUCUCUCCGAGGGUAGACGGUGUCGCAAGUCCCCCUGAACGGGGCUGUGAUCCAGAGCGGGUGCGAGGCCCAUAGCUGGUACCGUCUCCUUCGGGUGUCGCCUCCUUGGAGUCGGGUUGCUUGGGAGUGCAGCCCUAAUUGGGUGGUAAACUCCACCUAAGGCUAAAUACGUCCGUGAGACCGAUAGCAAACAAGUACCGUGAGGGAAAGUUGCAAAGAACUUUGAAGAGAGAGUUCAAGAGUACGUGAAACCGCUCAGAGGCAAACGGGUGGGCCCACGAAAGCCGAAGGCGGGGGGAUUCAGUCGAGAGGACGGUGGGGCAGGAUUGGCUGGUCGGACGGACCGUGCCAGGCCGGGUCAGUUCCCGAGAUCCGCCGCCUUUCGACGCAUUUCCCUCUGCUUAGUAGGACGCCGCAACCGGUUGGCGCUGCAGCCAUAAGGAAGAGUAAUCGGAAGGUAGCCAGUGAGUUCUUCUUCGGAGGCGCGAGCUGGUCCUAAGCCCACUCUUCUGGUGCUUGUGGCCCGACCGUGGUCGUGAGUCCCUCAACGGGAUGUUGCCGAGCCCUCUGACUGGAGCGGGAGAAGUGGCAGGCUGCUUUCCGCGAAAAAAAUUGGUUGCUUCACACGUGCAGUGAGCGACCUCCGGAGGCAGCUGCUGGUGCGUUUCUCUCCUGCGCUGGGCACAGGCAGUUGGCGGCGAGUAGGUCGGUCACCCACCCGACCCGUCUUGAAACACGGACCAAGGAGUCUAACAUGUGCGCGAGUCAUUGGGUCUUGAACAAGCCCAAAGGCGCAAUGAAAGUGAAGACCAGCACUGAAGCUGGUGGAGUUGGGAAACUGCGUCACUGAAGGCGCAGUUGCACCAACGGCCCGUCCCGUCCGCAUUGUCGGUGGGGCGGAGCGAGAGCGUACACGUUGGGACCCGAAAGAUGGUGAACUAUGCCUGGGCAGGACGAAGCCAGAGGAAACUCUGGUGGAGGUCCG